CGCACAGCCAUUUGGCUUGCUUGAUUGGCUAAAUGAUCGUAUUUAUCCGCAAACACGUCACAAGGCAGACUUUUUAAAAAAGUCUAUUAUCUAGACCCGUUCAAGCCUUACAUUUUUGGCAUAUUUUUUCCCAAGACCUCCAUGUAAAAUAAUAAUUUUAGUUGUUUUAAAGCAAUGCCAACAAGCUAUAAACGUAUACUCACG